rnacentral:rRNA from 1 species
AUCCGGGUUGCGGACAGUGUCUGGUGGGUAGUUUGACUGGGGCGGUCUCCUCCUAAAGAGUAACGGAGGAGCACGAAGGUUAGCUAAUCCUGGUCGGACAUCAGGAGGUUAGUGCAAUGGCAUAAGCUAGCUUGACUGCGAGAGUGACGGCUCGAGCAGGUGCGAAAGCAGGUCAUAGUGAUCCGGUGGUUCUGAAUGGAAGGGCCAUCGCUCAACGGAUAAAAGGUACUCCGGGGAUAACAGGCUGAUACCGCCCAAGAGUUCAUAUCGACGGCGGUGUUUGGCACCUCGAUGUCGGCUCAUCACAUCCUGGGGCUGAAGUAGGUCCCAAGGGUACGGCUGUUCGCCGUUUAAAGUGGUACGCGAGCUGGGUUUAGAACGUCGUGAGACAGUUCGGUCCCUAUCUGCCGUGGGCGCUGGAGAAUUGAGGGGGGCUGCUCCUAGUACGAGAGGACCGGAGUGGACGCAUCACUGGUGUUCGGGUUGUCAUGCCAAUGGCAUUGCCCGGUAGCUAAAUGCGGAAAAGAUAAGUGCUGAAAGCAUCUAAGCACGAAACUUGCCCCGAGAUGAGUUCUCCCUGACUCCUUGAGAGUCCUGAAGGAACGUUGAAGACGACGACGUUGAUAGGUCGGGUGUGUAAGCGUAGCGAUACGUUGAGCUAACCGAUACUAAUGAACCGUGAGGCUUAACCUU